GGAAAAGGUGCACACACGGAAGGAGGAGCAUUUGGAAAAGCCUUGCAGACCUUUGCGGAAAACAAAACAGCAACCACGUUUUACCGAAACGCCAGUGGGAACAAUGCACCUUAAACGCGGGAGGCCACUUAACAUACUCGUCGGUUCAUCAUGCGGCGGCGGUGGCUCCGACACCAAGAUCAAAACAGUACUCGAACCGAAUAAGGUGCAACACUUGAUCGAGCAGAUUGAGUUGUUUUACAUCCGAUAAAAUAAAAUAAUAUGCUAUUAUCAAUAAAUAAUAACUAUUUUUAUUUCAA